UGCAGGUAUGUCUUUUGAUCCUCGGGCUCUUCGAAACUUUGUAUGCACUAGGGCAGAUGCUCAUCCACAGGGGCAGCCCCUGAGGAAGAAAGGCAAGAAGAGGCCUCGAGGGACUCCUGAGGGUGUAAGGGGGCCUGGUGAAACAUCUCGAGCACAUCCUCAAGUCUCGACCCCUCUGCAACCGAAUCUUAGGUCUCCUACUCCUCGGGUUGUCACUCCUCAGCCUCCCUCUGAAGUGGUUGACCUUGAGGAUGACCCAUCUCUCACCGGGGACUUUGAGACUUGCCACCUCGCUCCUGAGCUCGUAAAUAAAUACAAGGAGGAGGUCAAGCUCGAGGAUGGGAUGAAGGUCCUCGAGGGUCUUACAGUGAAGGUAAUCUUCGGGCUUUCGACUUUAUCCUCAAGUUUCUUCUUUUUUUUUGGUUGUCAAGAUUAAUACUUGUCAUUUUCUUCAUUUUUUUCCAGAUGUUGAGUAUAGCUCGAGGACUUUCUCUGCAAGGACUCGAGGAGGCCAAGAGGGCAGCUGGGGUCGAGACGUCUAUGGCCUCUAAGGACGGCAGGAUUCAAGACCUCGAGGCUCAGGUCGAGGUUUUACUGAAGGAGCAUGAUGACGCGAGGAGGGAGGCUGCAAAGGCCAGGGAUGAUCUUGCUGUAGCAGAGGAUGAGGUCGAGAGUGCGAGGCUCGAGCUUAUCCAGAAGACAGAGGAUUUUGUGCGCGAGCUCGCUACUGUCAGGGAGAGGGCCUGGGAGGAGUUUAAAACCUCCGAGGACUGCGACAAGAUAAAAGGGGAGUACGCGUCGGGGGCGUACUUCAAUGCUCUGAAAGAAGCCCGGGCCUUCCUCCGUCAGAAGUUGCCCAACGUCACUCCGGACGACCUGAAGACACUGCCUUCCAUUGCUGAUACAUUGGAGCUCUCGGGUUCGGAAGAUAGAGGAGGAUCGGGUGGAGAUGAUGAGGAUGGUCUUGAGGACGACGUUGAGAUCGACAUCAACAACCUCGAGCCUCCUCUUGGCCACAUUGGAUGACUUCCCCACCCCGAUCUUUUGUAUUUUUUGUUUAACUUUGAACAUGUAAAUUGAUCGAGGAAUAUGUAUGUUCUAAAGUUAAUUUAUUCGAACU
rnacentral:lncRNA from 1 species